rnacentral:rRNA from 1 species
UACAGAGGGUGCAAGCGUUGUUCGGAAUUAUUGGGCGUAAAGGGCGUGUAGGCGGUUUGAAAAGUCUUCUGUGAAAUCUACGGGCUUAGCCUGUAAAGUGCAGAGGAUACUAUCAGGCUUGAGUAUCGGAGAGGAUAGGGGAAUACCCAGUGUAGAGGUGAAAUUCGUAGAGAUUGGGUGGAACACCAGUGGCGAAGGCGCCUAUCUGGCCGAUAACUGACGCUGAGACUCGAAAGCAUGGGGAGCAAACAGG